ensembl:lncRNA
CCCUUUUGGGAGGUGUGGCCUUGUUGGAGUGGGUGUGGCAUUUUUGGAGGAAGUGUGAUUCACUCUCUUCUUGCUGUCUGCUGAUCUGGAUGUAGAACUCUCUCAGCUACCUCUCCAGCACCAUGUCUGCCUGCCCGCCACCAUGCUUCCUUCCAUGAUAAUAAUGGACUAAACCUCCAAAGUGCGUGAAGAGGGUUAUUUGUGUGGCCAGAUGCCUAAAGAUGACAAGAAAGAACAAGACUGAUGGGGAGAUGCUGGGAAAGAGCUUCCUGGCUCUGAUAAACUUACAGCCCAUCACCAAGGGAGCUAAGGCAGAAACUCAAGUGAGAACCCUGAAGCUGGGAACUGAAGCAGAGACAGGCCACAGAGGAAAGCUGUUUCCUGGCUGUCUCAGCCUGCUUUCUCAUACAAUCCAGGACCACCUGCCAGGGAUGGCACUGCCCACAAUCAUUAAUCAAGACAAUGCCUCACAGACAUGCCCAGUGGACAGUCUGAUGGUGGCAGUUCCUCAAUGGAGAUUCCUUCUUCCCAGAUGACUCCAGUUUGUGUCAAGUUGAAAAGAAGAAGAAGAAGAAGAAGAAGAAGAAGAAGAAGAAGAAGAAGAAGAAGAAGAAGAAGAAGAAGACGCUAACUAACCAAUACAGCUCAGUACAACUUCAGAGGCAACUCCAGUAAAAGUGUGACUAUCAGCAGGCAGAUGUCAUUAGAGGCAUCUUAGGGCUGCUAAAACCCCUAAUGGAAUAGAGUAUGAACACACAAUCUCCCACUGGGCAGCCAACUCCCAAGCAAAAUUCAAGAUGGGAGAAGAGCCAAGGGGGCAACCGGAAUUCUCUGCCUCAACUCUAUUUGUUACAUAAAGACUUCUCAUAUACUAUAUAUAUUCUGAUUUCUAGAUCAUAGUACCUAUACCCCCAAGGAUUCUUCCUCUUAUGGAAAAUGUCAAAUUCCCACACAGAAAGCUUCUUAAAAACCCGGAGGGGAAGCCCGGCAGUGGUAGGGCAUGUCUUUAAUUCCCCACUUGGAAGGCAGAGACGGGUGGAUCUCCAUGAGUUUGAGACCAGCCUGGUCUGCAGAGUGAGUUCCAGGACAGCCUGGACUGUUACACAGAGAAACCUUGUCUCUAAAAAACAAAAACAAAAACAAAACCAACAAAAAAAAAAUAAAAACCCAGGUGUAGGAAGGGAGCUUCCAUUUGGAAGAAGAAAGACUCUUUCUGCAUUGCUGAACUCUAUGGAUGAUUCACACGUGCUGUUGACGUACUUACAUGUGUUAGCUAAGCUGAGAUGCAAAUCUUCUUAUGCUUUCCCAAACUUUUCCAAAAGGCCACAGAUGCUGUGGGUUUGGAAGCACAGCUCUUCAGGUUUUACUCUCUACAUUAGGUGUGAUCCAGAUGGUGAAAUAGAGUAAGUGGGUCUUAGGAAUGUGGCUUCUUUAUUCCCAUGCUUGUUUAUAGGGAGUGACAUAACACAGCUCCAGGCAUUGUGAUACCUCUUUUACUUACAUUGGCUAAUGUAAACCAUAUCCUGGUUUACAUAUGCUCUCCUAAAUCCUGGUCUGACAUGUGCCCAGGUCAUUCCUCUUAGUGCUCCGUCACAGGAAGAAAAUGCAAGGUUUCCAUGUAUUUUUAUUAGUCUCACGGUUGCUAGUCAUUUUGGCAUUGAGUUUAGGCAGGGGUACACGCAAAGCAGUUGGUGUGAGGUUUUCAUUUUUAUUUUUUAAAGACUUAUUUGUUCACUUUUAUUUAUGUGUAUGUGUGUACCUGCCUGAGUUUGUGUGUGCCACAUGCAUGCAGGUGCCUUCGGAGGUCAGAGGGCAUUGGAUUGCCAGAAACUGGACUUACAGGCAGAAACAGGGUUUCUCUGUGUAGCCCUAGCUGACUUAGAACUCAAUCUGUAGACCAGCUGGCCUUGAACUCAGAGAUCCACUUAUCUCUGCCUCCCAAGUGCAGGGACUAAAGGCAUGGGCUACUACACUGGGCUCAGCUGAUGCCUCUUAAAAAACCAAACAAGCAAACAAGCAUCCUGUCUGAAUUUAAUCCACUGUAACCAGGUGACUCUUCUGUGAUGGGAUACACUGUCACCCGAGAUGCUCUUAAGGCAUUGCAUGCUGAGACAGUGAG